rnacentral:misc_RNA from 1 species
UGGUUCUCGCAUCGAUGAAGAACGCAGCGAAACGCGAUAGGUAAUGUGAAUUGCAGAAUCUAGUGAAUCAUCGAAUCUUUGAACGCACAUUGCGCCUUUUGGUAUUCCGAGAGGCAUGUCUGUUUGAGCGUCAGUGACACCCCUCAGGCUCCGGUCUGUUGCUGGGCGUAGGUGCUAGAUCCACCCGCCCGAAUGUCGCUGCAGUCCCCCCACCGAAGGUCAGCGAGUGAUAACGUCUGUCAUUCUUCUUGCGUGCCGGAGUGUGGCGGAGGGCUCUCUCCCGAAGGAAGGAGAAACCCGUCUAGAGUUUUUGACCUCAGAUCAGACAAGGAUACCCGCUGA